rnacentral:lncRNA from 1 species
AUGUUCUCUCAUCCAACGACCUUGAGGACUUCUCUCGUUUUGUUUAAUUGUCCAAACGCCCUAAAAUAUAACCUAAGACCACCAUUCUUCUUCUCCCUCAUACCCUAUCUCUCACCACCGUCCGCCACCCAUCAUAAUUGGCCAUCGGCGGCGGUGAAUCCCCAAACUCUACCACAUAUUGACCAUAGAACCCCUAUUGUCCUCUCAUACCGAAUCCAUUUCCAUUUCUGUCCAAAAAUCACUCAAUUUCCUCAAAUAGGAAUCUGAAAAAAGCAAUAAAAUUCUUCUCAUUUUCUUUUUGUAGUUUCCUACCAAUCCGUCAUCUCCUUGAUGAUUGAGCAUGUGUACAUCAAUUUGUUUUGGUGGGAGGAUCUAAUUGGUUGAAGUUUCGAUUUAUGCAUGGCCGUCGAAUUUGGGGAUAGCAAUCUCCAAGGUAUCUCCACUUCAAGUUGUGUUUCUUCUUCGUUCUUGACCCGUGUUGAGGGCUGUGACAAAGAGCACAAGACAUUGAAGAAAUUUCGGCUAGUGCUCAUGUUAUAGCUCACAGCAUGGGUUGACGUUUUCUCGUCGGAUGUCAUCUCUGAGCCAUCGAUCUAGUUGGUAUGCUUCUAUUUUUUCUUUAUCUCAGUUAGAUUUAGAAAACAUGAAUUCUCAAUCGAUUAAUUUGGUAGCAAUAGGUUAAGAAGUACAGUUAGUCUCGUUGAUUAGUAUUUGUUAAGUUCUCUUUUCCUUUUGCUCUUUUUCUUUUGGUUCUUCUUCUUUAGAAGGGUUCAGAACUCCUCGUGAAAUUGGUUUGCCUAGAUUUGGGAUUGGGAUUGUUGGUGCAGGGGGCCCAAAAAGAGACUGUUGUAGCUUGCUAAUACAGAAGCCCAAUGGCAUUUGGGGCAGUCUAUGGUUUGUUUAAAGUAAUUACCAAACUUUUGAGGGGUAGUUAGGAGAAUUGGAUAGGAGGAUUCUUGGCUAACUAACUAGGAAGUUUCCAAGAAGGUGGGAAUGAGGUGGUUUAACAAACAGGCUUAAAUCUCAGGGUUUGAAAUGAAUAGAUGAAAAAUUGGGGAAGGGGUAAGGGUAAAAGUUAAAAUCAAUUUUGCUGCCCUAAGAGCUUGCUAUAAAAGGCUCAUUUUCUUUCAUUUCUGGGUAGAGACCAGAAUACCUAAAAAUUUAACAAACGACUGAAGAAUACACACAUUGAUAGAGUUUGAAAAUUAGAAAGAAAAACGCAAAAAAAAGAGAGUUGAAAUGGUGUUGCAUUAGCUGAUUAUUUGGGUUUGAAAAGAGGUCUAAUAUUUUGCUGGGUUUUGGAUUCUAAUCAUGGAUUAGAUUGGGCUAUUUUGCUGCUGACUACUGCUAAAAUAUUGAUGAUCUCACUCUCUUCUUUGAAGUUCUGUAGCUGUUUUUUGGCUGUAUCUAGAUACAUUUUCAAAUCCAUGAAGUGGAAGUAUGAAUGCUGAAUGAAAGUUGAUGCUCCAACAUUUAAACUUCAGCCUCCUUUCAAAGUCUGAUCCUAGUAGUUUUGUCAUGACUUAAUGUUUAUCACCUAGUUUAUUUACCACUUUAAUUGAACUUGUUAUAGACUUUAGUGGAUGUGAUGUAGUGUUUAUAAUCAUAACUUUGGACAUUCAGUGUAUUUUAGUGGCUUCACAUGUAUUUGAAUGAUUUCUUGUUCAUUAUGAGGGAUCUAAUGUCAUGAACUUAUCACUGCUUGAUUCACUAGCUUCAUAUGUUAAAACUUGCGUCAUAAUUAACUUUGAUGUGCCUGUAUAAUGUUUAUUCUUGUGGAAUUAGUGAUCCUGCUCAAAGUGAUGUCUAUUGAGGAUUACUGAAGGCAAUUUGGCCACUGGUUGGCCAUAUCAGCAAGUAUUAAGCCCAAAAUAAGUUUGUUGCUAUGUGGUGUUAGGAAUUGAUAACUCUAUUGCUAUGGUUAAAGCUUGGGUGAAUAGAUCAUAUCCAUUUUAGCAAGUGUUCUCCAGUAUAUCACUUUCAUGAGACAUUGUAUAGAAGUAGUUAGUAUUAUUUGAAGUUUGGGUUUGGCUCUAUUUUGUACUUCAAGGCUACUCUUUUACUGAUUAUCUCAUGUUUUCUAUAUGAUUUGUCUCUCUAGUUAGCUUGAAGCCUAUUCUUAUUGGUUGGUGGAUGAUAGUUAGCUUCUAUUGCUCAAUGCAUAUUUACAAGAAUUAUGUAUUAACCAUUGAUCAUGUUGUCCAGAAUUUUACAUAUUAGGAUCAUAAUUUGGGUAAUUAUGUUUCAAUGUGAUAAGAUUAUUAAUCUGGUCCACGCCCAACUAUAUUUUGUUUUCGCGAUUUAUGUUGAUUUGGGCAUAUAGGAUGAAUUGGGCCAAGCCUACGAGUAGACCAAACAAGGCCACAAUUAUGAACUUGAGCGCUUUACAUC